CAUGUUCACACUCCUUGGAGGAAGAGUAUGAAAUGAGAGUUCUUGAAUUAUGAUGUUUUUCAAAUUUCACCUUUGAGUUUGUAUGUAGAAAGUAUGUCUGCCUUGUUCUUAAGUUUGGGUCCUCCCCCUCCCUCCCCAAAAUCAUCAUCAUCAUCAUCAUCAUCAUCAUCAUCAUCAUGUGCUGUCUCGGAACUUGGUAAGUGUUUGCACAUCAAAUAAUGGGAGCCUUGGCUGUAUUUACAAAUUGUCCCAAACUGUAAAGCGUUGUUGGAGAGAGUCUAGACUGAGAAAUACAGUACAGUGGUACCUUGGGUUACAUACGCUUCAGGUUACAUACACUUCAGGUUACAGACUCCGCUAACCCAGAAAUAUUACCUCGGGUUAAAAACUUUGCUUCAGGAUGAGAACAGAAAUAGUGCUCCGGCAGUGCGGCAGCAGCAGGAGGCCCCAUUAGUUAAAGUGGUGCUUCAGGUUAGGAAUAGUUUCAGGUUAAGAACGGACCUCCGGAACGAAUUAAGUACUUAACCCUAGGUACCACUGUACAAUUUAGGUUUGGCCCUAGCGAGAUGUAGGAAUUUUGUUUGCCUCAGAUGAUGACCAUCUGACCAUUUCUGUGCUAGUGCAGGCUAGCACAAGUUUCAGAAUAUCCCAAAGCCCCAGACAUUCAGUAUACAUCCAGCAUUGGUUGGCUUCUUUCACUAUGAAGGCAUUCUUAGCAUACCUUGCAACAACCUCUGCUAUAUUGGAAGGUCAUGAGCAGCAGCUGCAAUGGUGGUGUGGAAACUCUAGGGAACCAGAGGUAAUAGGAGAGGCUGGGAGCAGAGUGCAUUGCAGUAAGAGCUGCUAAAGAUGUUCAAGCUGUCUUGCUAAGUUUCGACGAGACCUGUUUGCAUAACACUAUUUCAAGUAAUGUAGAAUCACUGAGUUAGAAGGGACCAAAUAACCACCCUCUCUAAUCUGAACCUGUGCCCUAGCAUCGGGGUGUGACAUCUAAUUCCUUGGUCAGCAGCAGGUUUUUCUGGGAGUGGUUUGCAGCAGAGGGACAGAGUCCGACCAUUACUGUCCAAUGAAAAGUAGACUUCUGAUAGUGCAAUGAUUACAGUUGCCUCCUCGAUUUGGCAGACAGAAAAGGGGACACGUGACUCCCUUCAUGGGUCUGUGAUGAGCCUUACACUUUACAACCAGAUGAUGUACCUUACACUAUACAGCAGCCAUGGGGAGUCUUUUUCAAGCAGAAGGCCACAUUCCCCAAUAUGCAACCUUCCAGGAGCUACAUGCCAGUGGCUAGAUGGCAAAAGGUAAAUAGAGCAAUGGGUGUAGUUCUUCAUACAGCCAGUGACAUUUACAGCCAUGCCAAUGCCAGAGGUUUCUCCACCCCUCUCCAUCCUCCAUCCAGGCAAGCAAGAGGCAUUAUCACAGCUCAAGGACACACUCCAGACAGCCAAAGGCACUUGAGGAGAGCACAGUACAGGGCUGAUGAGAAAAUUGUGACCAAAGGAGCAGGUGUGGUCUGGAGAGAGUCUCAAGCACCCCUGAGCCUGAGAUUCCCCACCCCUGAUAUACAGAGAUUCUAGCACUGAUUGUUUCUCUUGCAGCUGGCUCUGAGUAGCUGGCAGCACCUUGGACAGUUCCACGGCUUUUUUAAAAAAGCAAAUCCUCUCAACCCCAAAGCUACAAACCCAGUUUUGUUUGACUUUCUCCCGUUCUGGCAGCUUGAUGCUGGGCAAUUAACAAUACAUCUAAAUCCAUAAAGUCGCUGAUAAAUUUGAAUACGCUGACUAAGUUUUAGCUUUGCAUGCCUGUCCAAAGUAGUUUAAAAUCUCAUCAUUAAGCAGAAGCAGAAAGUGCCUUUUCACACUGGAAUCAAAAUAACUUGCCCAGAAUAAUCAAGUUACUUUCUUUUUGCUAUCAGAAUUAAAUUUAUCGUAUGUUAAAAGAGCAUUGCAUGCCUUAGCCUUAUUAGCAGUCCUUCUCACCAUCUUGAUAAGGGGAACAGAAGUAUACCCACCAACAUUUAUCUGAUGAAAAUAGGGGUGUUCCAUUCCAAAAUGAUAAUUUUACUAUUUAUACCCCACACAUCGUAUUGGGUUGUCCCAGCCACUCUGGGCAGAGCUUCCAACAUAUAUAAAUACAUUUUUAAAAAAUUAAUCUUUUUUUAAAAAAAACCUUCCCUAUACAGGAUUGCCUUCAGAUGGCUCAGGGGUUGGAUAACUCCAUACCCUCCAACAUUUCUCCAAUGAAAAUAGGGACAUUCUAAGGAAAAGCGGGAUAUUCUGGGAUCAAAUCAGAAACUGGGAUGGCUUCUCUAAAACAGGGACAUUUGUAGGGUCUGCAAAAGUGCAUCGCAAAGUCAUUUCACAGGCAGACUAGAUUUUUUUGGAUCCUGAGCAAAUCAGACACAUUUCGUUGCUCAGAAUUAAGAAUAUAAAAUUAAGGCUUGUGACAUCACCAUAAGCAUCAAGAGGAUUGCAGGAAAAGUGAUCUCUUUAUACAUGUGUGUAUAAAGUGGGACAGCACAAUUGCUAAUGGCCAAAUCAUGCAAUUGCUGAUUGACAUCAUGUCUAGUUUCACCCGUAACAGAUAUGAUUAGGGUGUGUACUCCGAGAAUCACAGAUGAUGGCUGAAUGACAUUGGAAAGCAUGCUGUGUACAGAUUUCUAGCAAGAACAGCACCAGCUGCUGUUAUCUGCUUGUAACUAACCUCAUCAUUGUACUGCUUAGUGAACAAACAUGUGUCCAAGCUGUGAUGAUAGCCACAAAGUAUUGCUGGUGGAUGAUAAACAGCAAUACCUCAGGAGCACUGCUGCUUAUUAAGUGUUCCAUAAGCACUUUUAAUUUCUCUGCCACCUUUUGUUUCAGGAAUUCAAAUGCAUUUGCUACAAAUAAAAGGAGACACAAGAGAACACAAACUCUCUCCCCCCCCCAUAUUUGCCCUUUCAAUAUUUGUGCUGCUUAAGCCUGUGUGUCUUACUGUGAUUGUAGCUCUGUGCUUUGAAGCUGUGACCUUCAAGAUCUAAACAAAAGUCAUUGUGGCUUAAAAGCAAAAGCAAUGAACUAACAGAAUGCUAAAUCUGCCCAGACAGGGACUGGGAGAGUUGCUCUGCAAAGAUGAACUGGCUUUUUAAUGUUCCGUAAUCACCUCCUUGAGUUGUUAACAUGUAAAAUGUGCCCCUCUCCCUUUGUUUAGAAAUAACUAUGCAAGACAUGGUGCAUAUCUAACUAAAGCCCAGGCUAUGUCUGGCCUCUUUGUAGUUAAGGAAUUCUACUAGCCCAAGAGCACAUUCUAUUGAUCCUGCAGGAAGACAUGAAAACUUAGGGCCAAACUAGAUAUUUUCUAGGUGUAUAGCAUCUAACUAUCUCACACUGGGGGUGGGGGGGGCAUAGCAACCCUUAUUGGAAAGGCAGUGCAAUGGGCAGGAGACUUAAUAGUUUCUCUCACUAGUGUGAUUGAAAUUAAUUUGCUCUGCAUGACGCUAGGAGCCUUAGAGGGGAAAGUCUCCAUUGAUGCUAACAGGACUUUCCCUGCUAAGGAUCUUAGUCACAUGUGGAAUGGGGGUAACUUUUGUUCUGAUCAUUUUGUGUGUGUGUGUGUGUGUGUGUGUGUGUGUGUGUGUGUGUGAGAGAGAGAGAGAGAGAGAGAGAGAGAGAUAAGAUAAUUCUCUCCAUACACAUUCUGCCUUCUCAAUAAGGAUUCCCCUAGCACCAUGGCACUGUGGGUAAAACCUCAGUGCCUAGGACUUGCCGAUUGUAUGGUUGGCGGUUCGAAUCCCCACGGCGGGGUGAGCUCCCGUCAUUCAAUCCCAGCUCCUGCCCACCUAGCAGUUCGAAAGCACCCCUAAGUGCAAGUAGAUAAAUAGGUACUGUUUUAUAGCGGGAAGGUAACGGCGUUUCCAUGCACUGCGCUGGUGCUGGCUCGCCAGAGCAGCUUCGUCACGCUGGCCACGUGACCCGGAAGUGUCUGCGGACAGCGCUGGCUCCCGGCCUCUUAAGCGAGAUGAGCACGCAACCCCAGAGUCGGACACGACUGGCCCGUGGGCAGGGGUACCUUUACCUUUACCUAGCACCAUGAUGCCUGUAAUUAAGUAAGAAAAAAACUAUAGAUCUAUAACUGCAUGCUAAAUAUUUAGCAAAUGUCUAGUUUAUCCCUUAAAUAUCUCAAUACCUCUACACCUUUUUUUUUCAUUCAGCUUUCUUAGGAAGGGUAUUCACAGAAACAGAAAGCAUUUUCCCCAAUCAGGAAACUCUGGGCAACAUCAGAGGAUUUGUAAUUACAUGAAUUAUUGCUUUGACCCGAUCCAAAGUCAAUUAGAGCACUAUGGAAAAAGAUUUGGUGCCAACAAUUCCAUUCUCUCUCAUCCAAGCAGUUCCCCAUGUGUAAACAGUUUCUUGAAGCUAUGGUGUCAAUUAAAAACUCCUUGCUGAUAUUUAACUGGCUCCCUCUCUAUCCCUUUUUCUCCUUUAAAAAAACGGGGGGGGGGGCCACUCUAGCAAAUAUUGCUGAUCUAGAAAAGAUUUAAAUAUGAGAAUCUAUUUUUUUUUAAGAGAUAGAGCGAGCAGAAGUUUCCGCCCCAAACGUCAGACAAAAUGAAACUUCUGUAUCUGUGUGCAAGCUUUGAUAUUCUCGCUUUAGAAAAUACAUUUUUAUGUUUGCCUUUGAAGUGUGUGCUCUCCAUUCAGCCCAGCUUAGCGGCUGAUAUAUGUCAAAUAUGUGGCAUUUAAAACAUGAAUGGAAUCAAGAUGAUUCUUUGAAGCAAAAUGACGGAUCUCAGACAAAAGUUAACUUGUAGAUCUCGCAGGACAUGUGAUAGCAGGGCUGCUCUUGUUAUACAGAGCAAAGUGGUGACCUUCCAUCACACUUCUAUAGAAAGCUCUAGUGAUUUGGUCCAUGGGGCUACUUAGUACACUGAGUACUAAGGAGGAGUAGUCCAAGAGUAGUUCUAAGCAGGAGUAGUCCAAGAUCUCAGGCUAAGGUUAAUGAUGUACUUGUUCCAGUCUCCAGAUUGACAUUGUCUCCCAGUGACAUUGACCAAAGUACAGCUGGGUCUGGAGGCUAUCAGACUUGCCACAGCUUUCCUAGUAUAGACCAGAACAUCUCUGCCUCCUAGUAUUAUCCAAUGGGGACAGUGGAGAAGGUCAAAUCUAUGUUAUGGCAAACAAGUGGCCUACAGGUUCCAUGAUGAUCCAGUUGACUUCACUGGAAACAUGAUGGGACUUGAAGUUUACUGGAUCUUUAAGCCCCUUUCCAUACAUCCAAACCUUCACCUGAAUUUCACAAUGGAGCACAAGAGAGCAGGGUGGCUGGUGCCCAUUGAAAUGGGUAGGGCAGAAGAUAAGAAGAUCAGCACUAGGUGGAAGCAGAGCCAACUAAUUCCAAUUUUGCUCCCAUCCUCCUCCGUACUGAGUUCUACAAGGGGCAGCAGCAAGAUUGAGGAGAAAUAAUCUGGCAGUCACUUCCACACCCUAGACUGGAUGUAAGUAAGAAAGUAGGCAGGUGGAGGAUGGCUGAGGGCAGAGCAAGGCUGGUGGGGCAAAAACCCAUUUGCCCAAAUCAACCAACCUCUACUGCUGGAGAGUUUUCCUAUCCAGCAGAUGUCUUCUAAAUUAACUUUAUUUUAGAACAUAGCUGUCGACUUACAGAUUUGAAAAUAAGGGACCAGCAGCCUUGAAAAUAAGGGACCAGCAGCCAAAAUAAGGGAUUUUAUUCUACCAGCUGAAAUACGAAGUUAAAAGGGACCAGAUAAUUUUGGAGAGCAGCGCCGGUUUUUAGCCCUUCAUUUCCAGAGGUUGCUGCUCAAGACACCAGCCGAUGAAACACUGCAAUUAAAUAACUACAAGCAGCAACCACUUUUUGCGCAAAACGAAGUUCAAGUUACGAAGAUGCUGCUGCAGUUCUGUAUCUUUUCUCUCAUGUUCCAUCUGCAGCUCUCAAUUCCAUCAGGUGGGGCAGAAGGAAGGGGGGGGAAUAGCGCCCGAAGUAAACCCGCAGAUCAGACUAUCUAUGCUAGUCUACCACCACAAAUCUAUGGGAGAAGCACUUGCGGUUCUUCCCUUGUAGCCCUUGGAACACCUGCCCGUGCCUCCGCCUCCACCUCCUCCUCUUCCUCCUCUCUCUGAACUGCUUUCUCUAUGGUUGCCCUCACUCUCCUCUCAAGGCUCCUCAGCAAUUCAUAGGCCAUGCCAGGCUGCCCAUCUUAUCCGGGUCCUUCGGCGGCAUAGCCGCAGUACUAACGGGAGCGGGAACGGUAGUGACGGGCAGAGGGGAGGCCCCAGGCAGAGACACUCAGUUCGGCAGCCGCGAGGAGGAUGGCGGCGGAAGGGCCCAAGGCUCCCACCAGUCCCAGCAGGGAAGGGUUCCUGGGGGCUGAGGCUGGUGAGAGGAGGCCGGAGGGGGGCGGGCUGGGCAGCCAAGCAACACAGUUGGAGCCUCCCUCCUCCCUGGCCGGCAAGGAGGGAGGGAGAGGAGCUGCUUCCUUUGAAACCCAGGAAAUUUAAGGGACAUCCAUCAAUAAGGGACAGCAGCGGGACAUGGCGCUGGGAUAAGGGACUGUCCCUCUAAAUAAGGGUCACUUGACAGCUAUGUUUUAGAAUUAUAUUGAGGGGGUGCCUGUUCAUUAUUUGCUUGGUACUUCGAAUUAAAAAGGGACAUGCUCUAUCAUGGACUAGUGGCUAAUUAUGGCAUAGUUUGUUCUUGAACUUUACAUAACACAAAAUGGCUGCAGAAGAGGAGAAAGAGAGACAGUGCUGUAAAAUGAUACAGGGGAUGCCCACUCUCAGUGGAAAAUAAGGCCACGUACAUCAGCAGCCGCCAUGCUCACUCAUAAAGAGAAGCGCUCUGCCCCUCUCCUCUGUUCAGAACAGAACAUAAGGAGGGUGUCUGAUCCAGUGAAAUUGAUGGGAUGUAGUUAUGGUUAAUGGGGAAGUGUUGAAUGUAAGAAUGACCAAGCCAGGGCUAACAGGAACUGAGCAGGAAGAGCAAACAGUCUCUUGUGCACAGUGAAUUUUUUUCAGGGGGUAUUUACUGAACCUUUCACAGGUGACAUUGCCUCCUAUGGCAGGCACUGAAUCCACAUCCCCUACUUAAUGUCUGUAGUUGGGCAGCGUGGGAGAUGGUGGCAUUUUAUUAGCACAUAGACAGGAGCUAGCAACCCAAUGAACAAUUCCAGCAAAAUAUGCUGUGCUCUAAAACCUCAAGGUCCUUAGCAGGAGGUUGAGCAAACAAUGACGAAGAGGACCAAGUCAAAUAUUCACAUUUUCAGGUGUAUCAAGUUUCACAUAAAAUUUGAGGAUUACUGCUUCUUGAUUUGCAUAUUUUAAAGCCUCUGUUAAUUAAAUAAGCUAUCCUGCUGAAUUCUAUUUGAACCAAAAAUUGAACAAACUUUGCAAGCUGCUGUCUGCGCUGCCCCCCCCCCCAAUUUAGAGGUAUGUGGGAAAGAAAAUAAGACGGUGUUUUCCUUUGACAAUAUGAUUGCUGGACAUGGCUGAAUCAAAAGUAAAACAAAAGUUAUAGCCCUGACUCCCAACAAAUGGAAGCAGUGGGUAUCUAAGCAGAUUGCUAGAGCAAAGUCUGAGAAGAGGUGACUUAAUUAAAGUUUUUGUAUGUCAUGGAGAAAGUGGAAAGAUAAAAGUUUCCCCUCUCUCAUUAAACACCACAACUCAUUAACAUCCAUUGAGGAUUAAUAUUAGAAGAUUCAGGACACAGAAAAGAAAAUACUUUGUCAUGCAGCACAUAGUUAACUGCGGACCUCACUCCCACAGCUAGCAGAGAUGGCCACCAACCUUGGUGGCUUUAAAAGAAGAUUAGGCAAAUUCAUGGAGGAGAGGACAAUUGAUGGCUACUAGCCAUGAUAGGUAUGCUUUGCCUCCAAAGGAGAAGACAGCAAUGCUUCUGAAUACCAGUUAGCAGGAACCACAGCAGGGUAGACUGCUCUUGUACUCAAAUCCUGCUUCUGGCAGGAUCUGGUUGGCCACUGUGAGUCCAGGAUGUGGGACUAGGUGGGCCAUUGGCCUGAUCCAGAAGGCUCUUCUUAUAUUCUGAAAAUGUUCAGCGCCUCACACCUCUGAUUUUGUUAAAAUGAGUUGCAAGGUUAUAGCACAUUCAUAUACAGUCAUACCUUGGUUCUUGAAUGCCUUGGUACUCGGACCUUUUGGUUCUCGAAUGUUGCAAACCUGGAAGUGAGUGUUCCGGUUUGCAAACGUUUUUCGGAAGUCGAACAUCCGAUCCAGCUUCCGUGGCUUAGAGUGAGUGAAGGAAGCCACGCCUUGGUUGUUGAAUGGUUCCGGAAGUCAAAUGGACUCCUGGAAUGCAUCAAGUUCGACAAUAAAGGUACAACUGUACAGUGGUACCUUGGUUCUCAAAUGCCUUGGUACUCAAACAACUUGGAACCCAAACACUGCAAACCUGGAAGUAAGUGUUCCAGUUUGUGAACUUUUUUUGGAAGUCGAAUAUGCUCCAUUUUGAGUGUUACGCUUCCGAUUUGAGUGCCACACUUCCAUUUGGAGUGCCACACUUCUGUUUGGGGUGUUACACUGAGGUCUGUCUGUUUUUGCUAUUUAUAUUGCGUUUUUGUUUUUGCGGCUCUUUUCUGUUUGUUUUUGUGACUGUGGUGACUGUGUGGAACCCAGUUCAGCUACUGACUGAUGAUUGUGUGACUGCAGUACAUUGUUUAUUGCUUUCAUUUUAUGGAUCAGUGGUCUUGUUAGAUAGUAAAAUUCAUGUUAAAUUGCUGUUUUGCGGUUGUUUUUAAAAGUGUGGAACCGAUUAAUCCAUUUUGCAUUACUUUCUAUUGGAAAGCAUGCCUUGGUUUUGGAACGCUUUGGUUUUGGAACGGAUUUCUGGAACGGAUUAAGUUUGAGAACCAAGGUACCACUGUACAGCCAAAUUGCAACUUACACACAUUUAACUUAUGCAAAUUCAGCUUUAUGUGCUUGGCUUAUAUACACACACCCUUGGGAGAGCAUUUGGAGGUGCAGGUAAAGUGUGUUUUGACUAUACAUAAUUUGGGCUUUAUGCGCUGUCCCCAGAACAUAACUCCUGCCUAAGUUGAGAGUUGACAGUGUAAUCGGAUGUCUAUAUAGUAUUGUUCUUUUUAAUGUUAUCAAAAUAACUUUUAGGGACGAGAGACUGAUGACCAAAUCUUUGGAACAGUGGCUCUGUGAGGUUGCCGAAAUUGGGAAGAUCUCUGCAGUGCUCCAAGGAGCAGUGUGAAGCUUCAACAUCAUCCUGCUCCAUCAUCUCUCUGUGCUGCUAAGCUGGCCACUCAGAUGCAGCAACCACCUCUGGUAGCUAUAGUCCUGCAGAGCAUUUGUCAUUGUGCUGUAUGAUUGAGACCUCUUGAAUAAAGGAAACAGACAAACAUUUCUGAAAA